rnacentral:snRNA from 1 species
AUAAAGUCUUUUGACUAAGAUCUAGUGUAGUAUAUGUUCUUAUAGUUUGAUAUCUGAUAUGUGAGCCAUAAGUUCACACGAUAUUAAAUUAAUUUUUUGAGAGAGAAAAA